GGGGGGGGGGGGGGUAGAAGGCCAAGUGGUCUAAGUCUCUCAACAGCACAUACCACACCAACACACACACUUACACACACACAUACACACAUAUACAUGUGUACAAAAUGACAUGCUCAGAUAUAUUAUUUUCAUUUUUUACUCGUCUGUUAUUAAUUAUACUUCCUCGUGUUCUUAUUUCAAUGUGUUACAUUUGGAAAUUUCU